rnacentral:rRNA from 1 species
UAUUGGACAAUGGGCGCAAGCCUGAUCCAGCCAUGCCGCGUGAGUGAUGAAGGCCUUCGGGUUGUAAAGCUCUUUUGGCGGGGACGAUGAUGACGGUACCCGCAGAAUAAGCCCCGGCUAACUUCGUGCCAGCAGCCGCGGUAAGACGAAGGGGGCUAGCGUUGUUCGGAAUUACUGGGCGUAAAGCGAGUGUAGGUGGUUGUCCAAGUUGGAUGUGAAAGCCUUGAGCUCAACUCAAGAAAUGCAUUCAGGACUGGAUGGCUAGAGGACCGGAGAGGAUAGUGGAAUUCCCAGUGUAGUGGUGAAAUACGUAGAGAUUGGGAAGAACACCAGGGCGAAGGGGGCUUCUGACGGUUUCGACACUAAGACCGAAA